rnacentral:rRNA from 1 species
AAGACCUUGCGCUUUUGGAGCGGCCGAUGUCUGAUUAGCUUGUUGGUGAGGUAAAGGCUUACCAAGGCUUCGAUCAGUAGCUGGUCUGAGAGGACGGCCAGCCACACUGGGACUGAGACACGGCCCAGACUCCUACGGGAGGCAGCAGUGGGGAAUUUUGGACAAUGGGGGCAACCCUGAUCCAGCCAUGCCGCGUGAGUGAAGAAGGCCUUCGGGUUGUAAAGCUCUUUCAGCCGGAACGAAACGGUUACGGAUAACACCCGUGACUACUGACGGUACCGGAAGAAGAAGCACCGGCUAACUACGUGCCAGCAGCCGCGGUAAUACGUAGGGUGCGAGCGUUAAUCGGAAUUACUGGGCGUAAAGCGUGCGCAGGUGGUUUUGUAAGUCAGAUGUGAAAUCCCCGGGCUUAACCUGGGAACU